AGAGAAUUGACCGAGCUUGGUUUAAGGUGAUAAACUUGAAAUUUAUUUGGCUAAAAUAGCUACAUCCGUUCAAAUCGGAUAUUCUCUG
rnacentral:tRNA from 2 species